rnacentral:rRNA from 1 species
AUGGCUGCAACGACGAGGUUGCAAGCUGCAACGGCGAGGCUGCUACCCAACAACGACGAGGCUACGAUGGUGAAGGUUGCAAGCUGCAACGGCGAGGCUUAUACCCGACGACGGCUAGGCUAUGACGGCGAGGUUGCAAGCUGCAAUGGUGAUGCUACGAUGGCGGUGCAUGAGGGAGGGUACGACAACGAGCUGAUGGUGAGCAAUAUAAUCUUUAUUGAUAGUCCUGUUGGGUCUGGGUUCUCGUACGGCACAUUGGAGGAAGGGUUCAUAUCUAGUGAUACCACGGCAGUUAAAAGGCUAGUCGUCUUUCUCAAAAAGUGGUUACGUGGACACCCCCAGUUCCUCUCAAAUUCACUUUAUGUUGGCGGUGAAUCAUAUUGUGGUAUGAUCAUACCCACUCUUGCCCUGGAAAUACACAUAUCAAAUAAAGAAUCUGGCGAAGAACCACUUCUUAACCUCAAGGGGUACUUUGCCGGGAAUCCAGUGACUGACGACAGGUUUGACACCGCUGGUAAAGUCCAAUUUUUUCAUGGCAUGGGAUUGCUAUCGGACGAACUUUACGAGAAUGCAAAGAAAAUUUAUCCACAGUUUGCCAUGGAGAACUGCGGAGGAAAUUAUAGUGAUCCACCCAAUGUGUUAUGCGCCGAGUCCAUCCAAGCUAUUGACGAUUGCACAAAAGAUAUCAACUUGUCCCACAUCCUGGAACCCAAAUGCGAGGCAAUAUGGAGCCCCAGGAUUCAGCAAGCAGCUGCAAGAAAUGGAACAAGUGGGCUCACAGUGCAGUACUCCGCUGGUGAUGAUCUCCUGUUUCCCUUCAAGUGUAGAAGCGAUGCCCAACAGCUAUCUUAUAUCUGGGCAAAUGAUGAGGGAGUAAGGGAGAGUCUUGGCGUUCGCAAGGGAACAAAGGGGGAAUGGAAAAGAUGUGAUCGCGACCUACCGUACGCUAGAGAUAUCACAAGUACAGUAGAGAUUCAUUCGAGGCUACGCAGACAAGGAUAUCCAGCGCUGAUAUACAGCGGCGACCAUGAUAGCAAGUUUCCCUUCGUUGGCACGCAAGCAUGGAUAAGAUCUCUUAACCUGUCUAUCACAGAUGACUGGAGACCAUGGCCAAGUUGCUGGGGUGCUGGGCAUACUGCUCCAGAGUACAAGCCCAAGGAGUGCCUCGAGAUGUUCGCAAGAUGGCUUUCGGGUGACCCUCUGUGA